UACAGAGGAGCCAAGCGUUGUCCGGAUUGACUGGGCGUAAAGCGCACGCAGGCGGAUGCGCGCGUGGGGUGUGAAAUCUGGCCGCUUAACGGCCAGGCGCCAUCCCAUACGGCGCGUCUGGAGUGAUGCAGAGGUCGAUGGAAUUGCCGGUGUAGUGGUGAAAUGCGUAGAUAUCGGGAGGAACACCAGUGGCGAAGGCGACUACCUGGCCUGUUUCUUGACGCUGAGGCGCGAAAGCUAGGGGAGCAAACGGG
rnacentral:rRNA from 1 species